GUUAUUGUUUACAACGCAUAUUAACUUCCAUUAAACCAUUUUUUAUUUAGUGUUUUCCAGGCAUACUCUACUAUGGAGUUGAAAGCAGAAGUUGCAAAACUGAAGGAAGAAAACCAAGAAUUGCGGAAGAAACUGGGAAGCGUGAAUUUGACUAAUCUCCAUUUCCAUUUCUGUAACUUCUUAUUCUUAUUAAAUUAUAUCUGAUUUAUACCAUUUGGGUAUUCUAUUAUGUAGGCAGGAAUUAUGGAAUUGAUGAGGAAUCAGAUACCUGUCACCGUAAUCUUUCCCUUUAAAAAAAUUUAACUUACAGGUAUUUGGUGAAACCUGGCCAAUUGUUUAUUUUCUACAUUG
rnacentral:lncRNA from 1 species